rnacentral:rRNA from 1 species
GAUGAACGCUGGCGGUAUGCUUAACACAUGCAAGUCGAACGGACUCUUCGGAGUUAGUGGCGGACGGGUGAGUAACGCGUGAGAAUCUGGCUUUGGGUUCGGGACAACCACUGGAAACGGUGGCUAAUACCGGAUGUGCCGAGAGGUAAAAGAGAAAUUGCCUGAAGAUGAGCUCGCGUCUGAUUAGCUAGUUGGUGAGGUAAAGGCUCACCAAGGCAGCGAUCAGUAGCUGGUCUGAGAGGAUGACCAGCCACACUGGGACUGAGACACGGCCCAUACUCCUACGGGAGGCAGCAGUGGGGAAUUUUCCGCAAUGGGCGAAAGCCUGACGGAGCAAUACCGCGUGAGGGAAGAAGGCUCUUGGGUUGUAAACCUCUUUUCUUAGGGAAGAACAAAAUGACGGUACCUAAGGAAUCAGCAUCGGCUAACUCCGUG